rnacentral:rRNA from 1 species
UGGGGGAUAUUGCACAAUGGGGGAAACCCUGAUGCAGCGACGCCGCGUGGGUGAAGAAGCGCCUCGGCNCGUAAAGCCCUGUCAGCAGGGAAGAAAAUGACGGUACCUGAAGAAGAAGCCCCGGCUAACUACGUGCC